rnacentral:lncRNA from 1 species
GUGUGAGUCAAAGGCUGUGAAUGGCAGAAUCCCUGCUCAAUUAUGUUUAAUGAAGAAAUAGGAAAUUCAUAGGCUCAUAUCACUUGAUCAUAGGAGGGCUGAAGCCAGCGGAGCUAGGCACCUGCUUUUUGUCUCUCAUCUAUGUCUCUUUGUGCAUGACUUCAUCUUUGCUGUGAGAAAGGCUGGAGGCAUGCUCACAGGCAGCUCCACCUACCCGCUGUUCUCAUGUCUGAACAGGAAAGAAGCCUCCUCACCAGUCUCAGGAAGAAAAAUCCUAGAGACAUGGCACCCCAUAGCUUAGAGAGAGAGUUCUAAACUAUGGGAGAGUUUGAAAUUUGCUUUACAGAUAUAAGGUGACAUUACUGCUAUUCAUAUCAUUUCACAACAUGCAAUCAUUUAUGGGAACCUCUGGGAGUCAGGGGAGAUGAGAAAAAGGAAGUGGAGAUCAGAACAGAUCACAGAGCGAGAUGGGAAACACCUUGAAUUUCUCCCUUGGACUCUGCUCCUCUCCUAGAGCCUCCUUCCAGUUUGGAAAAAGUUCUCCACUCCCAGUUUGGGUGUAAGGCCUUCACUUACACCCAAGUGUAACUGUGUAAGGCAAUGGGGCGGUAGGUGUGGGGAGGUGGUGGAGAUUCAGUGAGAUAAUUCUAGUGCAAUGCCUGCCUGGUACGACGAUCAACGUGGGACCUACCCAUGACCACGUGAGGCUGUGAGCCACCCCUGAGCCCUUUUCCUUUUGGGGCCCCACUGAGAGCCAUGCACAGAGGGAGAGGCUGCUGUCGUUUGUGGUAACCAGCAACAGUUGGUUGGAAAUUCCAGUUAUUGGCCAAGGUCAGAUUGAAGGGAGCUCUUUAUAUUCCGGUUCUACCCCUUUUCCCUCACUAUAAGCCCUGUGUCCUCGGCUCUACUCUUUCUUCAUGCUGUGCCGAGAUCAUGCAAAAUUAUUAAACUAAAAUCAUUCAGCAGGAAAGGCAACACGAGCAAUCAUAGUUUGCUGCUGAGAAGCCAUGGCCU